AGGCUGAAACAAUGCAAUUUCAUCUGCAGUUUCGAAAUCACACAGGCAUCUUCUUCACAGGCUGAUUUUUGUGCUACAUCAAAUUACACAAGAAUUCAGACUCGAGAGGUUACUGUCUCAACAAACAAUUCAUCCUUUCUACUUUUUACAAGUCCUAACAGUGAGCUCCAAGCAUGUCAUGAAUUAUAGAAUACAAAUAGUGUAAAAUCCUAUACUCACCAGGAGAUCCAGAGGGCUUUCCUCGGCCCUGCCCUUCUACCACGAUGCUCUGCCUCAUCUAGAGCCCACAGCAAUGGAGUCAGCUCACCACAGACUGAACCCCUGGAACUUCACAAAGUGAUCAACAGAUUGCUCCUCCAUAUGCUCUUUCCAUGAUGUGCUACCUCAUCACAAGCACAAAAGCAAUGGGUCAAUCAGUCAUGGAUUGAAACCUGCAAAAUUCCUGAUGACUACAGUUUGUUCUGGACAAUGUACAAGCUUGGAAGCAAGAUACAUUAACAUGAGGCUAGUCUCCAAUGCAUCUCAGACAUGAUUCCCCACCUACCUCCAAAACGAUAUCCAGCUGAUACUAAAGACGAUCACCAAUGUUCCAGAAAGAGCAUCUCUCUCAAGUGAGGAGCUAAAAUGGUUGUAGCAAACUCUUUUCAUUUUCCCUUACCUCAUCUUUUGAACAACGAACUCUGUGUGGAUUCCCAUCGACUUCAAACAAAUGCAUCCUGAGAGCAUCUCACCUCUUGCCAGUGUCUUGAACCUUUUAGCCUCCUACCUCCGGGGCUUCUCUGUUGAUGCUGAGACAUAAAAGUAUACCUGCUUGGCUUAA